rnacentral:rRNA from 1 species
GUGCCAGCCGCCGCGGUAAUACCGGCAGCUCGAGUGAUGUCCAAUAUUAUUGGGCCUAAAGCGUCCGUAGCUGGCCGCGCAAGUCCGUCGGGAAAUCCACUCGCUCAACGAGUGGGCGUCCGACGGAAACUGCACAGCUUGGGACCGGAAGGCUCGAAGGGUACGUUCGGGGUAGGAGUGAAAUCCCGUAAUCCUGGACGGACCACCGAUGGCGAAAGCACCUUGGAAGGACGGAUCCGACAGUGAGGGACGAAAGCUCGGGUCUCAAACCGGAUUAGAAACCCCAGUAGUCC